CCGUGGAAUUACCAAAUACGAUGUUGGACCCUUUUCCUCUUUCUUUUAUGAAGCUAAUUAAGAUGGUGAGCGACAGAAGAAAAAUCUCCUCCUCUUUACUACUCUCGUAUUACUCUUCUUCUUCUUCUUCUUCUUCUUCUUCUUUUUCCUCCUUGCGGCCAAGGCCGGUACAAUUGGCGCAUAUGAGGCCUCCGAGAUUAGGGUUUCAGAAAGAGAAAUGCCGCACGUGUAGAGAGAAGAACACUGAAAGGUGGACGUGGAGGGCGCAGUUUCGCACGUGAUCGUGGCCGUGACCGCUUUGGAGGAAGUACUAGAGCACACAAUGCAGCAGCCACCACCUCUCACGGCCACUGUGCCGCUGCUCUCUCUGCCCCUUUUCUUGCAGUUUGAAUCUUUCACCUUGCGUGGGCCCAUCGCUGUCAAUAAACUGUAUGUGCAAUGCAAUUUUGUCUGAAAACGAGUUCAGCAGCGAAGUUUUGUAUUGGUUGGUCGCGUGUUAACUCUGUUGAAGUGCUAGGAUUUGUUUGAUUGGUUAGCAUGGUCUCUGGAACAGCUUUACUAUUCUUAUGAGUAGAAUUUAUCAGGAAAGUGUGAAUUUGAAUGCAGAUAAACAAAAGUCGCGAAGUGUGUA